AGAGUUUGAUCAUGGCUCAGGAUGAACGCUAGCUACAGGCUUAACACAUGCAAGUCGAGGGGAAACGAUAUUGGAAGCUUGCUUCAGAUAGGCGUCGACCGGCGUACGGGUGAGUAACGCGUAUCCAACCUGCCCACCACUUGGGGAUAACCUUGCGAAAGUAAGACUAAUACCCAAUGACGUCUCUAGAAGACAUCUGAAAGAGAUUAAAGAUUUAUCGGUGAUGGAUGGGGAUGCGUCUGAUUAGCUUGUUGGCGGGGUAACGGCCCACCAAGGCGACGAUCAGUAGGGGUUCUGAGAGGAAGGCCCCCCANAUUGGAACUGAGACACGGUCCAAACUCAUACGGGAGGCAGCA
rnacentral:rRNA from 1 species